GGGAGGGCUUUUCCGGUGUCAUGGCGCCUAUGUCCGCAUCUGAGCGUUGCUGAGAAACACACCUGGCUCGACCGCCUUUCUCCGUGACUCCUGCGGGCUGCGUCCUGCGUGGCCACACAAUGGUGACGGAGGCAGUGACCUUUGAGGAUGUGGCUGUGAACUUCACUUUGGAGGAAUGGAAUUUGCUGGACCCAUCCCAAAAGAAGCUCUACAGAGAUGUGAUGUCAGAAACAUUUAAGAACGUGGCUGUUAUAGGACAAUACUAUAAUAAUCAGCAAACUGAAGAUGAGUGCAAAUGUUGGAAGAGAAACCUAAGGUAAUUUGCACUCAACAUCGAGAGUAAUGUUGCUCAAGGGAAUGAGCGCAAGUUUUAAAACCAAGCAAGCGACAAGUGAGGCCAAGUCCAAGAGUUAUUUAACUUCACAGUUCUCCUAAAAUUCACAUGGUUUGACUGUCCACGAUGUGGCGAUUGGGCAUUAAAACAUUCUAAUACUGGAAAUGCAGGGAGUACUGCCGUGACAUGAGUGACAUUAUCUAACAUGUCAGAAUAAACAAACUUUGUUCAUGUUGAGGGUUAUAAACAUGUUUGAAGUUGCCCUUUAGGCAUUGGCUAUAGAUGUGUUUAAACACAUUGUAUGUUUAUGCCUGGUCACAAGUUCAGGGUAUGUAGUCAAUGUAUCUGUGUAUUUUCUAAAGCCCACUUUGGUAUCAGUCAAUUUAUGUAAAAAAUGCUAUCUUUACUUAAAUGUAAUAAAUAUGUUCAGUAUUCGCAAAAUUGCUAACAUUGUGGAUGUAUUGAAAAUCAUUGAAAUGAAUGUCACUGUUUUGGUAAUUGCUAUUUUCAAGUAUUCCUCCAUAUCAUUCAGUCCGUUCUUCCUCCAAAAUGACUAGAAGGAACCUUCCUUUAUUGUUGGUGGCAUUGUCAUGCAGUACAACAUCCAUGAAAAUGCCUAUGGAGACAAGUACAAAAAGAAAUUUCAUUUCAUCCAGAUGAACUUCUGGGUAUAUUCUGCCAAAAGUUAUAGUAAUCAUAUUAACGGAUAAAUGCAUAUCCAUGUUUAUAACAGGACAACUCACAGCUAGCUCUGGAAGCAACCUUGAUGUCCACCCACAGAUGAGUGGAUUAAGAAUAUAUGAGAUAGGGCCCGAGAUUUAGCUCAGUG